GACGUAGGGUGCGAGCGUUGUCCGGAAUUAUUGGGCGUAAAGAGCUCGUAGGCGGCUUGUUGCGUCGGCUGUGAAAACCUGCAGCUUAACUGUGGGCUUGCGGUCGAUACGGGCAUCACUGGAGUUCGGCAGGGGAGACUGGAAUUCCUGGUGUAGCGGUGAAAUGCGCAGAUAUCAGGAGGAACACCGGUGGCGAAGGCGGGUCUCUGGGCCGAUACUGACGCUGAGGAGCGAAAGCGUGGGGAGCGAACAGG
rnacentral:rRNA from 1 species